rnacentral:rRNA from 1 species
CGUGAGUAACCUGCCUUGGAGGCGGGGAAUAACACAGUGAAAAUUGUGCUAAUACCGCAUAAUGCAUUUGGAUCGCAUGGUUCUGAAUGCCAAAGAUUUAUCGCUCUGAGAUGGACUCGCGUCUGAUUAGCUAGUUGGCGGGGCAACGGCCCACCAAGGCGACGAUCAGUAGCCGGACUGAGAGGUUGGCCGGCCACAUUGGGACUGAGACACGGCCCAA